CACAGGCUCCUGGAACAGCCGCAGCACAGCCUGCACCAGCUCGCUGUUAGGCGGCAGCCGCUGCUCCAUUCCGAACACUAGCAGAUACUGCACCACAGUGAGGAGAGACUGCCAUGUGUCCAAGCAAGGAGGCAGAUGCAGAGAAGCUACUGCAGAGAAGGCAAGAAGAUGAUCCUACAUGAAGUUCUUUCUCCUGGCCCAAGUCACAGCUACAGGCCUCUAGACCCAGGGCAUGGGCCAAGUAAGAAGGGGUCCCACCCACAGAGCAGGGAUAGGGAUAUGCAGAAAAGGACUAGGAGUGAGGCGACCAGCCUACAGAGCCAGGGGAUGCUCAGAGGACCACACCCAGGGCCCUGGGGAGGUCAGCUGGACAGGGAGGGGACAGAGGGGUGUCUUUGGCUACAUCAGUAGUAGAGCAGGAUGGGACACAGCAGGGCUGAUGAUCAGGACAAAGGAAGCCUCUGGAAAAAUAACUAGUAGCUAGAUCCUUGAGGGAGAGAAGCCCAAAGCCCAAAGGGACAAAGAACCAAGAGAAGAUGCAAGAGACACUCACUUUAGAUAGCCACAGGCUGGGCUAGCAUCAGGACCAGGGAGGCUGCGAGGGUAUUUUUAUCUUUACAGUAGAAGAUGAAAGCUCAGAUGUGGAAGUGAGGUCAGAGAAGCAGCUGUGCCUUGGGGAAAGAGGAACUGCUUCGGGUGGUGGUGGUGCCUGCGAGAACCCAGCAGCAAGCCUUAGUCCACAGUCUAGCAGCACAGCCGGGGAAGGUGGGGCCUGCAAAGCCCAUCACACUAUUGGCAGCAGGUCUGGGCAGGAGGCAAGCAUGGAGGGCCCAUAAUCUACCUUCGCCUCCAAACACUAUGCUUUUCCCAGGCCAGCCCUGGCUCUGAAGCCCUCUCUCCUUCAGAAGAACAAAGAGCUAAUUAAAAAGCUAACUAUAGUAGCACUCUCCUGUGAUCUCAGCUCUGUGGAAGCAGAAACGGGAGGAUCAGAGGCGGCCCAGGACUAACUACCCAGAGGCCUUAGAGGUAUGCAUCAGUGCCUUCGGAAUCCAGAUGAAGGCAUCGGAUCCCCUGGAACUGGACGACGUGAGCUGCCAUGUGGGUGCUAUUGAACUGAGGUGCUACGGAAGAGCAACCACUGCUCUUAACCCCUGAUCCAUCUCAUCUCCCCAGCCCCCAAACUUUUAAACCUAAUGUUUCAAUAAAGUCUUGUUCCUCUUGAAAAAAAAAAAGAAGAUAUGUGAUGGUGUUUAUGCAUGCACGAGUUAGUAUGUGCACAUGAGUUAAAGCGUGAUUCUGUAGGCUUGUGUGUAUGUGCUAGCAGCAUGCAUACAGAUGUGCAAGUGAUUUUGACAUGUGCAAGUGAGGGAUGUGUAAGUGUACCUGAGUGAUGUGUGUGCUGUGUGGGUGGUACAUGUGCGUGUUUGAGUCUGAAUCCCUCCCUGGCUACUCCUGACUAAGCACAAUAGGGAAGGUGUGGCAAGCUCUGGGAUUGGGCCAUGUUCACACAGCAGGCUCAUGGUCCCAAGAGAAUGUGUUUUUGCCAAUGUUAGUGAAAGGUAGUGGUCCCUAGACUGGCUAGGUCCUCUUGCCUAGUAGUUUAGGACUUUCUGCACCCAGAUCUUUCCUAUCUCACACAGUCCAAGACACCUUGACAACCAGAUAGGAGCAGCCAAAGGCAAAUUCUACAGAGAAACAUGGAGAA